rfam:Sorghum bicolor cultivar BTx623 chromosome 6, whole genome shotgun sequence.
GUAGUCGGAUUUGCAUCAAUCAACAUGUGUUGGGGUGGGUUAGAGUGGAACUUAAACUAAAUUACACCCAAAUCCACUCUAACACAUGUGGAUUGAGGUGAAUCCAACA